rnacentral:rRNA from 1 species
UACAGAGGUCCCAAGCGUUGUUCGGAUUCAUUGGGCGUAAAGGGUGCGUAGGUGGCGCUGUAAGUCGGGUGUGAAAUUUCGGAGCUUAACUCCGAAACUGCAUUCGAUACUGCGGUGCUCGAGGACUGGAGAGGAGACUGGAAUUCAUGGUGUAGCAGUGAAAUGCGUAGAGAUCAUGAGGAAGACCAGUGGCGAAGGCGGGUCUCUGGACAGUUCCUGACACUGAGGCACGAAGGCCAGGGGAGUAAACGGG